rnacentral:rRNA from 1 species
GACAGAGGCCUCGAGCGUUAGGCGGAAUCACUGGGCUUAAAGCGUGUGUAGGUGGAUGUCUAAGUGCUUUGUGAAAUCCCACGGCUCACCCGUGGAACUGCUUGGCAUACUGGGAUGUCUUGAGCCACUUAGGGGUCGCUGGAACAAACGGUGGAGCGGUGAAAUGCGUAGAUAUCGUUUGGAACGCCAAUGGUGAAAACAGGCGACUGGGAGUGUGCUGACACUGAGACACGAAAGCCAGGGGAGCGAAACGGG